rnacentral:rRNA from 1 species
AGAAUGAACGUUGGCGGCGUGGAUUAGGCAUGCAAGUCGUGCGCGAUACGUAGCAAUACGUGGAGAGCGGCGAAAGGGAGAGUAUAACGUAGGUAUCUACCCUCGGGUCUGGGAUAGCGGCGGGAAACUGCCGGUAAUACCAGAUGAUGUCCCCGGACCAAAGGUGUGAUUCCGCUCGAGGAGGAGCCUACGCCCUAUUAGCUAGUUGGCAGGGUAACGCCUACCAAGGCAAAGAUGGGUAUGGGGUGUGAGAGCAUCGCCCCACUCACUGGACUGAG